AUUGAACGCUGGCGGCAGGCUUAACACAUGCAAGUCGAGCGGAGCGAGGGUGCUUGCACCUUAGCUUAGCGGCGGACGGGUGAGUAAUGCUUAGGAAUCUGCCUAUUAGUGGGGGACAACAUUCCGAAAGGGAUGCUAAUACCGCAUACGCCCUACGGGGGAAAGCAGGGGAUCUUCGGACCUUGCGCUAAUAGAUGAGCCUAAGUCGGAUUAGCUAGUUGGUGGGGUAAAGGCCUACCAAGGCGACGAUCUGUAGCGGGUCUGAGAGGAUGAUCCGCCACACUGGGACUGAGACACGGCCCAGACUCCUACGGGAGGCAGCAGUGGGGAAUAUUGGACAAUGGGGGGAACCCUGAUCCAGCCAUGCCGCGUGUGUGAAGAAGGCCUUUUGGUUGUAAAGCACUUUAAGCGAGGAGGAGGCGCUCUAGGAUAAUACCCUAGAUGCGUGGACGUUACUCGCAGAAUAAGCACCGGCUAACUCUGUGCCAGCAGCCGCGGUAAGAC
rnacentral:rRNA from 1 species